AUUGCUUCCCAGCCUUUUGGCUCAGAUCAAUUGUAAUAUCUGUUUCUAUCAGUUUAAAAAUAGCAUGAUGAUAACCUGAUCAUCAAAAGUAUUUGCUUCCAAAUUACAAUUUUUUAACUCCAUAGGGAAGUGUUUCAACUUGACUCUUGCCUUACAUGCUUAAGGAAACAAUAAUUCAGGAGUGGAGCAUGGUCAGC